GGAAAUCUCUCCACCCCCUCACGUCUCGCCACGUGUCCCCUAUCUUCUUCCUCUUUCUUUUCUUUUCUUCUUUUCUUUCUCUCCUCUCUUCUCUCAUGCACGUCACUGCCUCUCUCCUUCUCCCUUUUCUUUUCCUUUUCUUCCUCUUUCUCUCCUUCUCCUCUCUGUUUACCCGCACAUCACAACAGCCCCUCCCCAUUUCUCUCUUUCCCUUGUUCACACAUGUUGAGAGAGAGUAGACCGAGACUGAGAGAUCGAGAGAUCGAGAGAGAGCCGGGAGCCGAAACCCGCGACCCAUGAGCCUAGAAAACCCGAGACUUGUGACCCGAUGACCCGUGAGGCCGGUAGAACCCGAUCGGUGUGCUGAGUCAUCGCCGGUGUCCUGAGGAGCGACGAUGGCCGAACCAGGGGCGGAUUCCGGUCAACCCAGGUCCGAUUUCCAAUGGGUUGGCGUCUGGUCGCCUAGUGGUGUGUUUUCCGGCGAUUGGGAGGUGCGAAUUCCAGUGAUUUUCCGAUAGUUUUUCUAAGGAAAUCCUCAAGGAUCAUGUUCGGAUUGGAGACUUUAAUUGGUUCUCCAAUGUAGAGUCCAAGUGACUAGAGUCCAAGGAGUGUUUGGGUUGGAGUCCAAUGCAGCCAAGAUGAUAUUUCUUUGGCUGCAGGUACUACGGUAUAGUCGAUGGGUCGGUAGCAGUGUGCUUGGGAUAUUAUGACUGAAGCUCAUAGCGACGGUUGUAAGUGUCGGACCACGGGUUGUCCAUUGUUUUAUAGGUUUAGUAUAGCUUGUGACGUUUGUGUCACAUAUUCUUUGUAAAGCCAUAGUUGUUUUGUAAAUAUUGUGUUAAUAAGACUCAUACAGAUAGAUGUUAAAUGGUUUUUUGUUGUAAUUAAUUUGUGAUAGAUGUAUAAGUUGUAAUUUCCGCUAUUCAGAAUUAUGUUUUCCGCUGCAUAGAUAGAUAUAUGUCAUACUCUGAUUAUCAGGUACAUGUUAUGGGGCAUGUGCCAUAUGUUGGUUGAGCGACACGUAGUCGUGCCACUGCGAUGACUCGUUGUACGUUUUGUAAAAAA